AAAAAAAACAACCAACGGUUAAAUUCUGUCACUACACUUGAACUUAUUGAAAUUAUGGAAACCAUGAAAACUAAACUAUUGGUUCAUAUGCAGGCUGGUUUUGAAUUCCAUCUGCAAUCAAGGAUGACUUUGAACUCCUGAUCCUGCUGCCUCCACCACUUGAGUGCUGGAAUUACAGGCAGAUGUCAUCAUACCAUGUAUAUAUGCUGCAAAUCAAGGGCUUCAUGCAUUCUAAGCAAGGACUCUACUGAGAGCUAUAUUUCCCAGCCAGGAGGCACUACAUUUGGAAAGACUAAUUCUCUGGAUUUGGGUACUGAUGCAGGAUACAGAGCACAUUUUCAGGAAACUUCUGAUGGGAGUGCAUGAGGUUUACAUUUAGUAUCGUUAAAUCCUUGGAACAAUCUGGUCCAGGUAUGU